CAGAGCACUUCAACAAAGAGAUUGAACAUCCAUUGGGUCACUAUUGCUGUAUGCUGGGGACCUGGGGAUAAAUACAACAGAGUGAUAGGUGGAGUAGUUUGAGUAUGACCAGGGAUCAGAGGGGCAAUUAACCCUUUCUAGGGCAGGAAAGGAAGAAAGAUUAAGUAAACUUUCAACAAGGUUACAGAAAUAGGCUUUGAAGCCUUCAUAGACAUUUUCCAGGGAAGUAAGGAGAACACAAUGUUUCAGGCAGAAGAAACAGCCUACAGGAAGUCAUGACUUGUUUGAAGAAUUGCAAGCCCUUUGGGGUGUUAAAGUUUAAAAUGUGCAGUCAUGAUAGUGGGAAUCUGGAAAAGAUAAGAAUAGGAAAUGGAAGAGAUGUUGGGCUGAGAAGAGGAACAGGACAUGAUGUGUUUUUGUAGGCGGGGACCAUGGUAUGACUCUUUAAGAAGCUAUUUGACCCCAUAGCACCAACCACUCAGUAUUGUGACAUAGCACUAUGACUUGGAAGCAUCAUGCCUUAGUCCAUCAGGUUAAAGCCCAGUGGGACACCUUCUAGACACUUUGCCAAUGCUAGGCAAAUUAUUUUAUCUCUUUGAGCCUCAUUGUUUUGUUUCUGGGUUUUUUUUUUCCCAUCUUUUAGCUAACAGAAUUAGUAUAUAUCUUACAGGGUUGUUCUGGUAGGCUAAAAAAAAAAUCCAGUGGCAUGAAAGUACGCAGUAACAUUCCCUGGCACGUAAAUAUUAAUAUCUUCUCUGACAUUCAGAUGAUGGUCUGUAAAUUUGAACUGAAAAUAAUUUCAUUAGACGAUUACAAACAAAUUCAAGGUUAUCGUGAUUAUUAAUAAAUAAUGAAAAAAUGUCACGGAAGAAGAAUGUGUGCUACAGAAGGGAAGGGAAUGGAUGGCAGAGGAAGACAAGGCAGAAGAGUAGAGGGAAGGAGAGAGAAAGAAACGCUAGACACAUUUUUCAUGUAAAUAAAGCCAUAAACAGCCGGUGAAAUGGAUAAAUGGCUCCAGGCGAGCUGCAGCAUUUAAUCAAUGACAAAAGCUGUUCAUCGGGUUCAGUGUAGAAGAGAGGAGCCCAGGGCCAGGACCACAGCCAUGGGACAGCAUAGACUUCAGCAGCCUGAGAAGCAGCAGGAUCUUUG